CAGGGAUUCGGAUAGUAUUUUUGCAAAAAUGUGUAGUUUUUUAAGCUUAUCGCAUUGUUUACUUCCUGGUUCGGUAAAGGGGUCCUAAAAAGCCACGCCCACAGAAACAUCUGCGUCUUCCAGAUGCCACCACCAGUUAAUUUAGCCACCAGUUAAUCUAUAACACCUGCAGCAGGACCAGCAUAGCUGAUCAUUACAGAAUCCGGAAAAUGUGAGACCGUCAGAAAAAGACAUUUAAGCUGAAGCAGAACAUGACGGCGACCCAAAACAUACCGUCGCAGCUGUCUGAGAAGCUGCAGUAAAGCUUCUGGAAGACGCCGCAGGCCGACCUGGAGCUGAGCAGCAGCAGCAGCAGCAGCGCCGGCAGGACGGCCAGCAUUUUGGUUCCUCAUGGUUUUGGUUGUAUUUGUUUAGUUUUUUUGCUACAACUCAGCCCAUCAAUAAAAUCUACACACUAAACCUUGUAGAGAUUUUUCUUUGUUUUUCGGUUUUUUAUUUUGAUCAUUUUAAUAGAAAUAUUAAGAGUUUUGUGUGACUUAAUCAGCAAACAUUCCUGCAAACUUUCUCCCAAUUGACCAAGAAACUGGGAUUAAUAACAUCUCAACACAUCGCAAGAUGUUUCAUGUUUUGUCAGAGAGUAACAUGAAAAAUAAUUAAAAGAAUAAAUGGAAAUAUCCUUGAUUGUUUGCACCCCAUGAACAAAAACAUCACCACAUAAAUAAAACAAUAAGAAAGUUAAUAUUCUGACUCCAAACCUUUGUUUAAAAGUAAAAGCAGCCAUAACUUCUGCCUGUAGCAAUGAUUUAUUUGUUAAAUUUAUAUCUAAAAAAUGUAAACACUAAAUAAAUCCUUGUUACAAAUCGUAUUAUUGUAUUAAACUAAACAAACCUCCCA